CUGGCUCAGGAUGAACGCUGGCGGCGUGCCUAACACAUGCAAGUCGAACGAAGCACAUAUAUUCGACCCUCGGGUGACAACAUUGUGACUGAGUGGCGGACGGGUGAGUAACGCGUGGGUAACCUGCCCUGUACAGGGGGAUAACAGCCAGAAAUGGCUGCUAAUACCGCAUAAGCGCACGAUGGUAGCAUUACCAGGUGUGAAAAACUCCGGUGGUACAGGAUGGGGCCCGCGUCUGAUUAGCUUGUUGGCGGGGUAAAGGCCCACCAAGGCGACGAUCAGUAGCCGGUCUGAGAGGAUGAACGGCCACAUUGGAACUGAGACACGGUCCAAACUCCUACGGGAGGCAGCAGUGGGGGAUAUUGCACAAUGGGGGGAACCCUGAUGCAGCAACGCCCGCGUGAGUGAAGAAGUAUUUCGGUAUGUAAAGCUCUAUCAGCAGGGAAGAUGAUGACGGUACCUGACUAAGAAGCUCCGGCUAAAUACGUGCCAGCAGCAGC
rnacentral:rRNA from 1 species